rnacentral:lncRNA from 1 species
GUAACAUUUUUAUAUAUCAGUUAAGGAAACAUUUAAAUUAAAACAAUAAUCCUAAUACUAAAAAGAAGAAAUAAUUAAAUAUUUUGCAUCCUGUGUGUGAGAACAAUGUAUUUUUUUAAAUUUAUGACUUUGGUACUUCAUCUAAGUAAGAGUGGGGCUUUCUUCAGUAAGUUAUAGGUGUGAAACACGAAACUUGAUGAACGAUUUUGUUCCUAAAAAUUUAUGAUCCGUUGUUCUACUUGAAAACAUAGUAACACGUAGGUACAUUUUGGGGUUUUUUUGUUGUUUUUUGGUACCAGGGAUUGAACUCAGGACCUUGCGCUUUCGAGGCAGGAGGAGGCACCACUGAGCUAAAUCCCUGGCCCACAGUAUUUGGAGGUUGACCUGGACUUAGCUGUGUUAAGCUGCCUGCACCACAGGAAACCACCUCCCUCGCUGCUGCUUGCUGCUUUCUCUUUAGCCAACACCCAAAGCCACUGCCAGUGUCAGGGAGAUGAGACUUCACAGGGCAAUGCCUGUUUGUGAGAUUGUGUGCAGUCAUCCCUUUGAAGUGUUGGUUCUGAGAAAAGAUCUCUGUAAUUUUCCAUGAUCUUCAUCAACAAACAGGAAAUGCAGGGUCACUAGUACUUCAAGAAAUUGGACAGAAAAAUGAAAAGAGGUUCUCAAAAUAUUGAAGCAACGGAAGACCCAAGCUACCCCUCCCUGUAUGUAUCAUCAGCUCUCUCUAACUGAUGGGAAGUUGCACAUAGCCAAGGAUGAAAAAUAUCUCCAUACAAGAUUAUCUGGAAAAUUGAUCCAAGCAGGAUGAGAUACCAUGUAGUAGUAUUCAGUCUUCAGAGUUGGUGGUCUGAACUUGAAAUUUUUCAGUUAUUCUACAUCAAGUCCUGAACUACUGGUUAGUGUGAAGAAGGAAGGAGCAGGACGUCUGCUGAGGCUAGAAGCAGUGAGGCUGUCACUAGCAGGCUGGGGACCUGAGAAGCACUGUGGAUGGGCGGAAGCAGCUGCACUAGGGACCUCAGAAGUGGACACCUGGAGAAGACACAUGUCCAGGGCACUUGGGAGCCAACAGAAAUUGAUCUUAGCUGGGGAUUAGAUGGAUGCUUAUUCUCUCUCUCUCUCUCUCUCUCUCUCUCUCUCUCUCUCUCUCUCUCUCUCUCUCUCCCCCUCUCUCCCUCUCUCUCCCCCUCUCUCUCCCUCUCUCUCCCCCUCUCUCUCCCCCUCUCUCUCCCCCUCUCUCUCUCCCUCUCUCUCCCCCUCUCUCUCCCCCUCUCUCUCCC